GACAGAUGAUGUCUGUUUUUAUGAUGGUCUUCAGAUGUCCAUCACAAGUGCUGUCAAGAAAGCCACUUGGUUAAAUUGAUGCUGAAA
rnacentral:snoRNA from 1 species